UACGGAAGGGGCAAGCGUUGUUCGGAAUCAUUGGGCGUAAAGGGCGCGCAGGUGCUCUGUAUGUCUGCCGUGAAAGCAUACAGCUCAACUGUAUUGUGUCGGUAGAAACUGCAGGACUUGAGGCUGGGAGGGGCUGGUGGAAUUCCCUGUGUAGCGGUGAAAUGCGUAGAGAUGGGGGAGAACACUCGUGGCGAAGGCGGCCAGCUAGACCAGUUCUGACACUGAGGCGCGACAGCGUGGGGAGCAAACAGG
rnacentral:rRNA from 1 species